rnacentral:rRNA from 1 species
GAUGAACGCUGGCGGCGUGCCUAAUACAUGCAAGUCGAGCGAACAGACGAGGAGCUUACUCCUCUGACGUUAGCGGCGGACGGGUGAGUAACACGUGGAUAACCUACCUAUAAGACUGGGAUAACUUCGGGAAACCGGAGCUAAUACCGGAUAACAUGUUGAACCGCAUGGUUCAACAGUGAAAGACGGUCUUGCUGUCACUUAUAGAUGGAUCCGCGUCGCAUUAGCUAGUUGGUAAGGUAACGGCUUACCAAGGCAACGAUGCGUAGCCGACCUGAGAGGGUGAUCGGCCACACUGGAACUGAGACACGGUCCAGACUCCUACGAGAGGCAGCAGUAGGGAAUCUUCCGCAAUGGGCGAAAGCCUGACGGAGCAACGCCGCGUGAGUGAAGAAGGUCUUCGGAUCGUAAAACUCUGUUAUUAGGGAAGAACAAAUGUGUAAGUAACUAUGCACGUCUUGACGGUACCUAAUCAGAAAGCCACGGCUAACUACGUG